ensembl:snRNA U6 U6 spliceosomal RNA
UUGCUUCAUCAGCAUAUACACUAAACUUGGAAGGACACCGAGAUUAGCAUGCGCCUGUACAAAGAUGAGAUGCAAAUCUGUGAGGCGUUCUAUAUUUUG